rnacentral:lncRNA from 1 species
CCGUUUUCGCCAUCCAAAACCAGUUCCUACAACACAAACAUGAAAACAAGUAUAAUGAUACAAAAAACACUCAAAGUAACAAAGAAUCAAGCCCAAAAGAUGUCUGAUUCGUAGGUAUAAAACCUACUCGUCAAAUUGUUUUCGGUUGUAUCAUAUCUUAUACUGUAACCAAACACAAAGCACUAGCUACAUAUUUUGAUUUCAAGGAUAAAUUGGAGAAAUUGACUUAUGUUCCAAAUCCACUCCUUUGAUUGAUGUAGGACAAGAUAGAAGAAAAGAGUAAAGGUGAUUAAAGAAAAUAAUUUGGCUAAAAAAACCAUAAGCACAAGCCUUAGGUCAAUAAUAAUUAAUCAUUUAAUAUCAAUAAACUAGUCAGGAUCACAAUGCUUGUAUAUGACAAUAAAAAAACCCUAAACUUAAAGAUCAAGUAAAAUCCUACGCAAUCUAAUUAAAUAUGGAAACAAAGUCACAAUAAUAUCUACUAUAAUUAAAGCCAUAGAACGUUACACCUAAUAAGAUAAAAUAAUAAAG